rnacentral:lncRNA from 1 species
UUAUCCUAGUUAUCCACGCCUAGGAUUACAACAUGCACAUUUUCAUUUACUUUGUUACCGUUCAGAUUUCUACUCAAUUGGAGCUGUCGAUUUAUACCCAAUUCUUAGGGAUUUUACAUGAAGUUCAUAGUUUACAUACCAUUGAGGUUUCGAAUCAACUAGAAUUAGCGACGUCCAUAUAGCAUCUAUAUUCACAUUUCACAUUCAACUUAUAUGCUCUUGGCAUCUAUGUAGGCUUUAGCAUAUAGCGACAUUCAUAUAGCGACAUUCAUAUAGUAUGUAGGCUUUAGCAUAUAUAUUCACAUUUCACGCAUUCAUAUGCCUACUCAUAAGCAUUUAGCAUUCAUGUUCAUAGGUCGACAAUCAUAUUCAUAUAUAUGCGUCAAAUGAAACAAGGAUUUACUUUGGCAUGGAAGUGACCUAAUCACUUCGGUAAGCACAACCCACCUUUCUUUGGUGCCGGAAUGGAAGAAAUGCGCUUCUAGCGCUUUCCCGAGAAUCGCGACCCGCGCUCGUGACUAUCGACGCCGAAAAUCUUCUUUUGGCGAUAUCUUCGCGUAGGCUCGACGGAUUGCCGAACCGACUUCGCCAACGCGUUUGUUUAACCUUCAAUUAGGUUUAUACGCGGUCAAUUCCCCGCUAGGACUUCAAUCCUCAGGUUGAUAUAUCUUGCAGAUUACCGCUGCUCGGAAGCCACCUCACAGCCCAAACCCAAUCCGCAUGGCACCACAACAACCCGAAAGUCACGGAAAAAUCGGUCGACGAAACGGUCUCAAAAUCGGCUCUUCGCAGUCGAAGCGCCGGAAAAAUCCAACACGCGCGGGGGAUCGAUCGGCUCGUCGAACGACACCGAUUUCAUCAAUUUCUUCUUCUUCUUCUUCUUCUUCUCUUUUUUUUCCUUUGUUUCCCUUUCCUUCUCUCUCUCAUGCGUACAGGAGAGGAUAAGAAUGGAGGUUCCCCUGGCAGGUUAGUGGAAAUCCACUAAGCCUAUGCGAUAAUUACCAUAAUGCCCUCCGACUUAUCCGUUUAGCGACCUUGGAUCAGAUACCCUUCGUAAGCUCUUCCGAAAGUCCGAUUGAGCUCAAAUUUGACAGGAAUGUUCGUUUUUACUUAACAAGUCCACUGAAAUUUUAACAUUUCAGUUUCGACCCCGUUUGGUCACUGCGAACUGUCCCGAACUGUAAUCUUUAUCAGAUAACUUCCAAAUGCUAUUUCUCUCUGUACAGGUGUCAGAAAAAUCUGAAACUUCAAAUCUAGCCUCAUUAAAAUGUUCCUGACAUCUCUGCGAAUUUUUAUAAUUUUCUGACACUGUGCAUUUUUCUGCUAAUUUCUCAGUCUCGUUCUUUACAGAAAAUUCUACAUUUUCCGUUUUCACUCCAAUUUCUUCCAAACACUUCCAAAAUAUACCAAGGGACCUUCACAAGCUACUAAUUUAAUUUGGAAGCAAUUUCUUUUCAUUUUGACAUUAUUUGAGCCAAAUUAGCAAUAGAAUCGGCUCCAAUUUCAUUACACGGCAGAAAUUUCUCCUUUUUGCACUACCACUUCGCACUGAACACUUCAAAACCCUUU